rnacentral:lncRNA from 1 species
CGAGACGGCGGCAGGUUCAAUUAGCUAAACAAAGAAAUCAUGGCGGAUUGUUUACAUUUGGCAGCGCCCGGGCUGCGCCGACCGCCGGCCCCGAGCCGCCGCGGGCUCCGAGGAGUCGGCCGAGCUGCUCCCGCGCCCUGGCCGGCUGGGUCUUCAUCCUCAUUGUACUCCCUUGGCAUCUCAUGGUGACGUGACUUAGAAGGUGGUGCAGAGGUAGGUGCAGCCCUGGGGGUCAUGAGAAGUUUCCUGAAGUCUUCAUUGGUGAGUUUUGAUUGGUGGAAGGAGUGAGGAUCAUCCACAUCGUGGCCAUCAGGGGCCAAAGGGUUGGAGAACGGCUCACUAUCUCGCUCCGGCAUUUUGUUAUCAUUCUUCCGCUGUCAUCAACAAUCGAGUCUCCAAC